UAGACUCGGAACUCCGGUGACUGCCGGAGAUGGUCAGAGCUAAGUGAUUGGACGGCUUGGAUUAUUUCUUUGAUGAUCGAUAAGGUGUUUGGGCCAGAGGAGCAUCCCAAAUCGGCGAUUCCGAAGCUCGUCGGAGCACCGGUUGAAAGACAUUAGGAAACAAAAUAGAAAGGAGAUAGUACGGACAGAGAAGAAAAGGAGAAAAAAAAAAAAAGGGCCAACAAAUUAGAAAGAGGACCUGAAGAUGGGAAUUGUUGGCAUAACUAUUGUUGCCGAUUCCUCCCUUCAUGUGAAAAAUUUUCUCAAUAUCCAUAUGGGUGAAGAUUGGGAGUUUGGGACUGUUCUUCUCUGGUUUUUCUUCUUCUUGGCUUGGAUGAGUUCAUGCCCCUUUUAAAUGUAGAAUUUGAAAGAAGUAUGUAACUAUUUUUGUACACCCCCGGAUUGGAACAAAUAAUUACCAUAGUUCGUUCUUUUUC